rnacentral:rRNA from 1 species
GAUGAACGCUGGCGGCGUGCCUAAUACAUGCAAGUCGAGCGAACAGACGAGGAGCUUGCUCCUCUGACGUUAGCGGCGGGCGGGUGAGUAACACGUGGAUAACCCACCUAUAAGACUGGGAUAACUUCGGGAAACCGGAGCUAAUACCGGAUAAUAUAUUGAACCGCAUGGUUCAAUAGUGAAAGACGGUUUUGCUGUCACUUAUAGAUGGAUCCGCGCCGCAUUAGCUAGUUGGUAAGGUAACGGCUUACCAAGGCAACGAUGCGUAGCCGACCUGAGAGGGUGGUCGGCCACACUGGAGCUGAGACACGGUCCAGACUCCUACGGGAGGCAGCAGUAGGGAAUCUGCCGCAAUGGGCGAGAGCCUGACGGAGCAACGCCGCGUGAGUGGUGAAGGUCUUCGGAUCGUAAAACUCUGUUAUUAGGGAAGAACAAAUGUGUAAGUAACUAUGCACGUCUUGACGGUACCUAAUCAGAAAGCCACGGCUAACUACGUG